AUGCUUAGCUGACAGGGGAGAUACCAUGAUCACGAAGGUGGUUUUCGCAAGGUAAGGGUAUAGGUUGCAUUUGGGAUGUGCCGACCCCUGAGGUUUCCCAAAUGUGGGUAAAUAGACUGCAGAAUUUGUAGGAGUGAGAGACUUGUGUAUGCGCUCUUCCCU